GGCACAGAUGCAACCCAGUCUUCUCCCACCUCCCACAGUGCAGCGUACUGAACGGAAGACCCCAGCACCCAAAAGCAUCCACUGAAGGACGUAAGCAGGGCAAGGCCAACUGUGGCUGUUCCAGCAAGGGGACUGUGGGUGACGUUUCCCUUCUCUGAUUUCUAAGCUAUUUGCAAACUUGUUUCAUUUAUAAUAGAAAAUAUAAUUUGCGUAACAGUCUAAAUUCUACACAUGAAGGCAAAUGUCCAUGGUUGACAGAAAUUACACUGGCCAGAAUCCCCAGUGCCAACCCUGGCAGCACCAACUGAGGGUUGUCCAGAUGCAGUGAACCAGUCGCAGCUGACAUCACGCAGACCAUUCCCAAUCCCAGAGAGACAGGGUCCUCCCCCUGGCUGGUCUUGAACUCCUGAGCUGAAGCAAUCCUUCUGCCUUGGCCUCCCAGAGGGCUAGAAUUGCAGAUGUGAGGUAAUGUCCAGUACUUCCUUGCCUAAUUUAUAAAAUGUGAUUUAUUUUUUGAACUUUUUCCUCUUCAGAGCCUUCCAUUCACCUUCCUGUGUGGCCAGGCUGUUAAAAAGCUGCUUUACUUUCCCUUUUCUUUCUGCAUCCCUAAAAGAAACAAAAGGCAAAUGCCCA